CCUACGGGUGGCAGCAGUGGGGCAUAUUGCACAAUGGGGGAAACCCUGAUGCAGCGACGCCGCGUGAGUGAAGAAGUAUCUCGGUACGUAAAGCUCUAUCAGCAGGGAAGAAAAUGACGGUACCUGACUAAGAAGCCCCGGCUAACUACGUGCCAGCAGCCGCGGUAAUACGGAGGGGGCCAGCGUUAUCCGGCUUUACGGGGUGUAAAGGGAGCGUAGACGGCAGAACAAGUCUGGAGUGAAAUCCCGGGGCUUAACCCCGGAAAUGCUUUGGAAACUGUGCGGCUGGAGUGCAGGAGGGGUAAGCGGAAUUCCUAGUGUAGCGGUGAAAUGCGUAGAUAUUAGGAGGAACACCGGUGGCGAAGGCGGCUUACUGGACUGUAACUGACGUUGAGGCUCGAAAGCGUGGGGAGCAAACAGGAUUAGAUACCCUUGUAGUC
rnacentral:rRNA from 1 species